rnacentral:lncRNA from 1 species
AUGAUAGACAUGUCUUUUGAUUCAAAGGUUGAUGAGAGUGUGGAAGACAUUGUGGGGCAGGAGGAGCUGUCGGAAGACAUUCAAAAGCAUCAAAAGCUGUUGGAACUGGUGAAGGACAAUGUGGUCAAAGCUCAGGAAAAAACAAAGGGCAAAAUAAAAAUGAUGAAGAGAGAUGUCGUCUUCAAAGUUGGUGACAAAGUUUUAAGAGCUAACAUAAGAAGCCAGCAGAGGAAAGGGGGAAAACUUGAAGCAAACUUUUUAGGCCCUUACAUUAUUACAGCAAUCCAAGGUAAAAGUGCAGAUCUUCAGGAUUCCAAUGGGACAAUCAUUCCAAAAGUAAAUAUUGACCAACUAAAGUUAAGCAAAGACAGCAUGCCAAGAGUACCACACCGGGGUUCAAAGAAAACAGCAGCCACAUUACCAACAGCACAACCAGGUCCAGCAGCACCACAAGCUGCAGCAGCACCAGCAUCUGCUCUAGCUUCACAGGCUACAGCAGCACCAGUGGCGGUAGCACCACCACCACCUCCUCCUAGAGCUACACAGCCUACAGCACCAAUGGCAUCACUUACAUCACUAUCAGUUCAAACACAACAUCCAUCUCCAGUUCCACAAGGUAUAGCAAUAACGGUAUCAGAUCCAGAGUCAGGAGCAACAGCACAGAAAGAGAACGAACCAGCCACAAGUGCUACAGCACCAGAAUACGCUACAGCUGUACAAACCGAAUCCCAAACAGCAGCAGACCCAGCCUCAAAGACCAUAACAGCAGACCAGGCCUCACAAACCACAACGGCAGACCAGGCCUCACAAACCACAACGGCAGCAGACCCAGCAUCACAGACCACAACAGCAGCAGACCCAUCCUCACAGACCACAGCUCCAAAUGCUACAACCACACAAGCCUCAGCUCCACAGAUUACAGCCCAGCAAUCUACAGCACAAACCAUGGAAGCAACAGUUCCACUUGUGACACCAGCCCCAGCAACAGCCACACAAGCUAGCCCUGCACCACCUCCAGCAUCACCAUCUCAGAGAUACACUGAACCUGUUGCAGAGAAAUAUAUAAUGGAUGCCUGGGCUGGAAAGAGUCCUCACGUUCUACUCUCCAAAAUUGGUGCUUACAAAUUAUUCUACUGGGAUAUCCAACAAAUUGGUCCGGACAUGGAGUUGGAAAGUGAGUCUAUUAAUGCAUAUCUUGCGAUCAUGGUGAGACAAUGCAAUCGCCAUAAUUCAGCCAAAGCAGCAUUCAUUGAUUCAUUUUCAAUGACUGCCAUUUAGAAGAGAAAAGCUCCAAGACUCAAGAUCAAACCCAUGGAGCAUGAAGUGAUUCUGGGAAUUGUAAAUGAACAUCAUCACUGGACAUUAGUG